GCAAAUGUGUAAUGCUUUGUUUGAGCGGGUGAAUCCCUGAAACCCCAAAAUCAUCGAACCCGGCACUCCUUCCUUUCUCAUCCCCAAAUUCACAGCUUCAAUCUUCCUUCUCUCUCUAUUGUGGUGGUCAUCAUGGACUCAAACUUGGACUCUCCAUUCACAGACAGGGGGACUGCAUUUUCCAAGCCUUCAAAAGAUAAAGUUAAAAGGAAUUAUCGGCGUCGUUCUCCUGUUAGUGGGUCAUCUUCAUCUGAUGGGUUUUUGAGUUGUCUUUGCAAGUUUGGUCUUGCAAUUUUUUGUUUGUUUUCAGGGAGUCCUGACUCCUGAGCAUAAUAACAGCUCUAGCCCAAAACUUGCAAUGGGAGAUCCUGGAAAAGAAUGGAGGCAUGAAGCCAAGUUUAUCCAAAAUAUUGUGGAAGAGAUCUCAAUUCAAGUAUCAAAUCGGACAUACUUGAAAGUUGCUAAGUAUCCUGUAGGACUGGAAUCUCGUGUCCGGGAUAUGCAUGAGCAGCUUCUAUGUGUUAGAUGAAAAUGAUGUUCGCAUGGUGGGAAUAUGGGGAAUUGGAGGAAUUGGUAAGACAAGACUUCUGGAUGACGACGAUGGCGAACUUGGGGAUCUAAUUGAGCUGAUUUGCCUUUCAUGGGACGGAGAUGCUUCUAUCAGACCAUCCUUUGCCACCAUCACAUGCAGUCUGUCUGAAGAAGGAUGAAAACUCAAGUCCAAUUUGGUCUAAGCUUUUGAUAGAAAACUCUCUCCUCUGCCUUCUCUCCUUUGCCGUUUUGAGAGUUGGCAAGUCUCCGGUUUCUCCACCCUCUGUGGUGCGCCUCCACCCUUUUGUGGUGAGUUUCCUGAGCUUGGUCUCAGCUUUAGAUCUGUUUAUGUCUCUUUCUCUUUCUAUCUUUCAUUGUUCUUGCCCAAUUGUUCAUCAAAUUUCCAGAUCUACUAUCAAAUCUCACAUUCUCCUCCAUCUCAAACACAUCACCCUCUCAUCUUCAUCCGAAUUUUCUCUCUUUCCACAACCUCUUCACUUUCAACCCUUGGUGUAUCGACAGAGACCUGUUCACUUAACUUCACACAUGAAGAUUGCAGCAGUACCGGCAAACCACCGAAGAUUGUGGACCUCACCGGACCAGUUCUUUGUUUUGUUCUUGUUGUUCUUCUUGAGCUUGCAAUUUAGGUGUGGAGAAUGAUGGUGGAGAGUUUACUUGGCCUCUGGAUGUCAAGAUUCUGUCAGAUCAGUUGGUCGCAGUAUCACCAUGGCGGCCAGCCUCUGCGUUGAAGUGAAGGGUUUGGUGUUAGGUCUUGGUUUUUUUUAUAUUUUGGACUUUUGGGCUUCGGUUUUAGUUUUAGGUAUGCAUUGUCUAUUGGGUUUUUAGGCCUAGGACUCCCAUUUUCUCUGUAUUACUUUUGUAAUAUGUGCUUUAUUUAAUGAAAGUUCUAUUUGACCAAAAAAAAAAAAAGGCCUAAAA